UCCGGGGGGGGCAAUCGUUGUUCGGAAUUACUGGGCGUAAAGGGCUCGUAGGCGGCCAACUAAGUCAGACGUGAAAUCCCCCGGCUUAACCGGGGAACUGCGUCUGAUACUGGAUGGCUUGAAUCCGGGAGAGGGAUGCGGAAUUCCAGGUGUAGCGGUGAAAUGCGUAGAUAUCUGGAGGAACACCGGUGGCGAAGGCGGCAUCCUGGACCGGCAUUGACGCUGAGGAGCGAAAGCCAGGGGAGAAAACGGG
rnacentral:rRNA from 1 species